rnacentral:ribozyme from 1 species
ACGUCAGCAACUCCUAUCCCUACCUCCACGCGGUACCGGCCGGAAACUAUGAGCAACCUUAGGGAAGAUCGGGUAACCAACCCCGGUGGGAACUUUGGUCGUAGGCUGACAGGGAAGG